rnacentral:lncRNA from 1 species
GGUUGCACAACAUGCACAAGAUGAAUGCACUAAAUGCCACCGAAUUGUUUACUGUAAAGGGGUGAAUUGCAUGGUUUAUCUGUGGGAUGGUUGGAUUAGCGUCUGCCUUCCCCACCCGACCAGAAGCCCCUCAUGAUGGGACCGAUCCUGACCUGUGUGGGACUGGGCUUGGUAUACAGUAGGUGCUCAACGCUGACCUUCCGAAUCAAUGAAUGAACGAAGCUGUGAAACGGAGACUACCACAGUCUGAACUCCUGGAGCUGUGGGGAGCAGCUGAGGGACUGCCGCUCAGAGGAGCCCCAAAUACUGAGUACACAGCAGGAGCUCAGUAUCACUGGCCCAGAGCUCUGCUAAGCAGGACUGCUCAACCCAUGAGGCAGGCUCAGUCUUCUCCCAGUAGAAACAGGGUGCCCAUUUUCCCCACUCACUUCAGCAGCACCCCAAGCCCUGCUCAGUGAAGGCCUAACUCCAACCCCUUGACCAGAGGGCUGUGCCUGGAGGCCUCCUCCAAGGGCUGGAGCCCAGCCGAAAGGAUGCGGAGAGCGAUCUUCAAGGGAGGGCACGCCGGAUGGCAGCGUCAGCAAACGCUUGAGCAAACGCGAGGAGGUGGCAACUCCAAGAGAGGAGCAUUUGCGGAGCAGCCAGCCCCGCGGCAGCUAAAGCACCUGGGCCAUGGCCUCAGUUUCCCCACCUGGAAGCAGAGGGCAAACGGAGGCUCCCCAAGCGGCGGGGCCGGGACCACUGCCCCCUGGCCUUGUCGGCUGCCAGACCUCCCUCACCCAGAGGCCUGUCUCUUUUGCCACAAAAUUCAGCAUCUCUUGGUUUCAAUCUCAGCCUCUCCCCCUCCCCCUGCCCUCGUCGAAAACCGGAAAAGUCUGUUUUGCAAACUCCGUGGGAGGCGGAAGGGGCGCGGGGCUGCCUGGGAGAGGCGCGCCGCUGCCGCCCCCUGGUGGCCGUGGGGGAACGCGCGGCAACUCGCUUAAGGACGGGGCCGGG